UUGGCGAUUACCUCAUCUCGCCAAGGCUAGGAUGGCAUGCGCUGGGCUUGAGCAAGUCCAGGGUGUGAAGCCUAUCUAACAAUGUACCCGUGAGGGA
rfam:Acidibacillus ferrooxidans strain ITV001 contig0034, whole genome shotgun sequence.